rnacentral:rRNA from 1 species
GAUGAACGCUAGCGGCAGGCUUAACACAUGCAAGUCGAGGGGUAUAGUUCUUCGGAAUUAGAGACCGGCGCACGGGUGCGUAACGCGUAUGCAAUCUACCUUUCACAGAGGGAUAGCCCCAGAGAAAUUUGGAUUAAUACCUCAUAGUAUAGCACUUUGGCAUCAAGGAACUAUUAAAGUCACAACGGCAAAAGAUGAGCAUGCGUCCCAUUAGCUAGUUGGUAAGGUAACGGCUUACCAAGGCUACGAUGGGUAGGGGUUCUGAGAGGGAGAUCCCCCACACUGGUACUGAGACACGGACCAGACUCCUACGGGAGGCAGCAGUGAGGAAUAUUGGGACAAUGGGCGCAAGCCUGAUCCAGCCAUGCCCGCGUGCAGGAUGACGGUCCUAUGGAUUGUAAACUGCUUUUUAUACAGGAAGAAACACUCCGACGUGUCGGAGCUUGACGGUACUGUAAGAAUAAGGAUCGGCUAACUCCGUGCAGCAGCC